rnacentral:piRNA from 1 species
UUGUGACUGUGUGUGGAAGGGGUUGUU